rnacentral:siRNA from 1 species
CGGCGGGUAGAAUCCUUUGCA